GUCUAACAUGAAAUGGGGAAAAUUCAACACGAUUCGCAAACACUAAGCCCACUGCGUACCUGUUAAAACUGGAUUUUUUUAUCACUCAGCGUUUCGUCAGGCACUUAGUUUUGGAUGUCAUUUGUGCAAGUUGUAUAGUAGUGCGUUGUGAAUGUGAAGUGUGAAUUUCUUCGCGAUGGUUAUAGAAUGGGUUGGCGGUUGUUAUCUCUCUUCGGACCAUAUUAGAAAUAUGGAGACAAGAAAAGGGCGUAGUUGUUAAUUAUAUUCGUGAUAUGACUGACUUGGACAAUUAUGAGAACCUUGACCAAAUGAAAAUAAAAAAGGGCGACAAUUGCUUCUUCGUCAUCGUGUGAAUCGAUUAAGAUUUGGCGGAUGAAUCAUCGCGAAAUGGGCCGGAGCGAGUUUAUCGAAGACGUAACGAAUGAGUUGUGAUGAUUUUGGUUGUAAUUUGUAGACAAGGAUGUACAAAUCUAACUUUUGCGGAAGAUACAUUGAAGAGAUACAACAAGAAGCUCUCAUUUCAUCUUUUAAAAAAGCGUUAUUACAAUUAUUUAAAGAAAAUAGGUGCUGUGUUUUUGUCGGUAACUUUAGUUCACAUCGUCGACUUGCUCAAUCAGUGCCUUACCGUCGAUACUUAUUACAGUCAAAUCCACGUACUGCAGUGUAUUGGGUUGUAUAGACUUUUCCGUUGAACCCCAACCAGAGAGAGUGGCAAC